GUGUAAGACACCAUCUCAAAAAAAAAAAAAUACAGAAAAGAUUAGUAUGGCCCCUGUCCAAGGAUGACACAGAAAUUUGUGAAGUAUUCCAUAGUUUU
rnacentral:snRNA from 1 species